rnacentral:lncRNA from 1 species
CAGGAAGCGGGCACUGAGUCUGGGACACAGGGGUUCUCAGAAAACACACUGAAUAAAACCGCACAGCAGACUUGAAGCUGGCGGUUUCUGCAACCCGGAGGCCGUGUUCAGAGGUCACCGAGUUCUGGACUCCCUCUGGGACAAGUUUCCCUUGUCCUGGGUUCUCUUAACCGGACCUCCUGCGGUUGCUCGGUCUCUUUUUAAACGAGUUAUGCACCCAAGGAUGGCCAGACUCUUUUUUUUUGGCAGGACAAAACAAACACAGGUAAGAUGAAAGAGCCCGCAGCCUCCACCCCAUCCCAGCCCUGUGGGCUCCCCAGGUAAUUAGGUUCCAAUGCCUCACCAGCACCUGAUAGCAUCAAACCUAUGGCUUGUUAGUCUGGUGGGUGGAAAAUGGCUUCGUUUUGUCCAGUAGUGCAGCGGUUUGGAGCGUGGACUUUGAGUCCAGGUUGUCUGGGGCCCAAUCCUGGCCCUGUGACAGUAGUAAUAGCAGGAACAAGAGAGCCUGGCUCCCUUGGGGGCUGUACAGCUACAGAUGACCACAGUGGUCUCUCUGGGCUGGUGGCUAGGCACGAUCGCUGACUCCUACUCAGUACUUGGAUGGGACUGGCCUGGGUGAGCGCCCUGUAGGGGGCUGGCUUUUGUCAUCACCAGUCAUUCUGGGUCCCUCGGGAUGUCAGGCUGCCCCUCUCCCACCCUGCACCUUCACUUUCAAUUCAGGGUCAGCAGUUCCCACAUUUCCCAGGCUCUGCACCAAGGCUGGGAAAGACCCUGGCCGCUCAGGGUUCUGUGGCUUCUCUGUGGCCCCUUCAACGUUCAGUCGUCAGGAAGGGAGACUCAAUUUCUAGGAUGAGGAGGGUGCUCUGUUUCUCCCAGUUGGGAUCACUGAGGCUCUGAGCAGGGAAGGACUCCUCUGGAGGCAAGAGGGCACAAAGAACCAGGCCAAUGUCCCAUAAGCCCCUCCUCCUCUUCAGGGCCAAUCCUGACUGACCAGAGGCAGUUUCCUGGGAGCUGGGUUAAGAAGGAUUCUGAGGCACAGCUCUCUUACUUGCAAGGUGCUCUUGUGGACAGCCUUUCUGCACCAGGUCCUCAGGGAGAAGAGGGCAUGUGUACCGUGUCACCUGGGGGCUCUCCCAACAUUCACCUAGACAGUUCUUACAUCCCCCACCUGCAGACAGAACCGAUUUGGGAGGAAGAAUCAGUUGACAGGGGAUGAGGGGAUUGCUCCUUCCUCUACCUCCACCCCCACUGUGAGGCUCAGCUUUAACUUUAAAAUCAGUGAUUACCAACCCAGGGAAGGGGGGCUUUAAGGCUCUCUGUAUCUGUUCCCUGUGAAUGAAAGAUUAACAAGAAGUGGUUUAAACACCCGAGAAGAUGGUAUGUGCAUUUAUCAGAUAAUAGGAUUCUAUUUACAGUUUUGAAAUUUAUACAAACUCUGUCCAGGACACAUUUUUCCCCCCUAUAAAAUGUCUCCAUAAAAGGACCCCCUGCCUCUGCCUGGAUGAUUUUAUUUCAUGAACAAUCCAUUUGUGAGCAGGAAGUCACCUUUAAGGAUCCUAGUAGCCUCCUCAUCUUGGGGGUUGACCCGCUUCUCCCUGUGUGGGGGGGCGGGGGGUUCGAGGUUCUAUGAGUUUAUUUCUUGACAUCCACCAGAGAAGGUUCUUUGCUGGAGAACCACGUCUGCUCUGCCCACUGCUGUGUUCCAGGUUCCCAGGACCAGGAAUCUUCGAGGAAGGAAAAAUGAUCACGUGAGCCCCUCCCCGUGGGCGCUGCAUGGGGGACCUGAGGGAACAUGUUGACAUGAGCAUCCGUGUCCUUUAAACACUUCCACAUCUGUGCACAUCAGCAUUACCAAUGCACGUUUUUACAGAACCGCAUGUUCUUGGCGAUGACCUAGCUCUGUGUCCAAGUGCUCGGGUUAAGAGCUUUCUAUGGAAGCCCUGGACAUGCGGUUACUGUGUUUUAUAAAUAAGGACACAAAGUGUCUGUGUUAAACUCUCCAAUCCUAGAAGACUAGUUCUGGGAGAAGCAAAAGUUUCCAUCUUCACAUGAGUUUGGGAAAUCUGGAAUUAAACGGAACUAACCAGGCCUCUACAUGCAGAUCGACUGGGAUACUUUAAAUGCCAAAGUGGCCCUCGGGGUGGCAUUCCACUGUCACCCCAGCGAGGCUGAGGCAGGAGGAGGGAGAGUUCAAAGCCAGCCUCCACAAAAGCGAGGCCCUAAGCAACUCAGUGAGACCCUGUCUCUAAAUAAAAUACAAAAUAGGGCUGGGGAUGGGGCUCAGGGGUCGAAUGCCCCUGAGUUCAGUCCCUGCUACCAAAAUGGAAAAAAAAAAAAAGCCAAAGUGCUGGUUACUCUCUAAAUACAGAAAGAACACACUUCACUUAACAAACUCAGUGAUCUUGAGACUCUGCUAGACCCUCCUUUAGAGAGGACUUUACAGUAAACGUAUACAAUGCUAAGCAGACUGCACCCAGCCAGGAGUCUGCACACUGUUGAGGGACCUUUAAGAGCCCGGCCUUGUGAAUGACCCUGUCCAUAUGAAGAUGGGUAAGGAGUGAGGGGCUCCCUCGAGCUCACAGUUCAGGGAAGUCAGAGGAUCGGAGCUCCCUGCUGCAAUGUCAGGAGCCCCACGUCACUGAUGGAGAAGUUAGGGGCUCAGACAUCUGGAAAGUCCAAGACGGGAAGAGAGAAGAAAAUGAGAACUGAUGACAGACAGUGAGGACCCGGGUGGCACAGGAAGAAGGGGUGGCCCAGCUCCCAGGAGGCGCCCCAGCAGGCUCCCACCCACUGCCCACCUGAGCAACGCUGUGGAGCACCCCCCAGGAAUCAAGGGACAAAGUGACACUCAGACCAGGUGCCUAGAAUGCAAAGAGGGAACAGGAAGGUCCAGCGGGUUCUUGGGUGCCCCAGUCACCAGACCUGUGGCUUUCCUGGGCACGGGCAACCAGGGUGAUGGGUUGAAGCGCUGUCCAUUUCUCCCGAGGUAACUCGCGCGACUCCAGCCCUGGUGCUGAAGGAUGUCCCAGGCCUUGUGAUCGUCCCCGGCGUUGGUGUGGGGAUGGGGUGGAGGAGGCUGGAGAGAGGAGUCCUGUCCUUUGAAGCAGAGAAGGUCCUUCUGGCAGCUGUGGUGGGCAAACCCCCAACCAAGGACUGCGGUGUCCCCUCAGGGGACACAGCAAGGGUGCCACCAGCACCGGUCACUUCAUACGCACGCUCAAAUGAAGUAGGGCGAGGAGAGCCUGCUGCACAAGGGUAUCACUGGUCCCUCCAUAAAGAAGGACAGGAAGGGGACAGCUUGGCUUUGCUCUUGGUCUCAAGUGACUUUCACACUGAGGAAAAUUCCCGAAUAUCCCGACCCAACCGUGACCCCAUGUCCUUCUCUUGUGUUUCUAGGGUGGCACCCGGUUCCAUGUCAACUGCCACCGCUGGACCUGUGCACGGCUCUGGCCUGAGAGACGAGCAGGUGGUGAGAAGCACCUGGGACAUGUCACAUUCUGAAAUGUCACCCGUGGCCACUGAACAGACGCCGCCCCUCCCACUCCUCUGCAUGCCCCGCGUCAGGGACCUGGUUCUAGAACGACCCUCUGCCACCUUCCUGGUGAACAGGCUCAAGGUAGGAGGGAGCUGUCACUAGGCCACGAGGGACAACUCCAACGCCAGGGAUUUCAAUACCAGGACUUCUUGAGUCCCUCUGGAUGGGGAGGGGAUGUCCAACUGGACCCCUGCUGCCCACGAGCCAAGGAUGGUUCUGACAUUUUUGGAUGGUUGGAGGACAAAAGUAAAGAAGAAGAAAAAGACGUGAUGAAACAUGGAAAUUAUAUGAAAUUUAAAUCUCAGUGUCCGUCAGUAAAGUCAGUGGACCGCAAGUCACACCAGCUCAGCAGCGGACCCUGCACGCUGGGCCCUGCCUCAGGACCUGACCUAGGAUGGGGACAGAAAAAAGUCUGGGGAAAAUACCGUCUCAAUCUCUUAACCUGGGCAUCACUCACGCCUGACCAUUUCCAGACUGGAUCCCUCCCCAUUGAUUAGACUUAGUAGGGAAGUCUGGGGGCGUUCUGUCCCUCUGGUCAGCUUUGCCUGGGGACACCCUCUGAUGUCAUUCUACUCCCUGCCUUGAGACCAGUCAAUGAUUUCCGCUGCUCAUGGUCCCACUCUUGAGCCUCACCUGAUCCAGCUCCACUUGCUCCCUGAACCAUAUCUCACUGAGACUCUUUAAACCUUUAGUUCCCUCUGCCACAGGGCCUUUGCUCCUGCUUUUCUCUUGCCUAGAUCUCACCCCACACCUGGUUCAUUGAAUUAACUCCUGUUUAUUCUGCAGUUUUCAAUUCUGUUCUCUUUUCCUCAGGGCAGCCUGUUCUAGGGCCAACUUCUCCAUUAGGCAUGGUGCCAAGGAUUGAUAGAUGCCUUUAGGGGGCUGUGGUGGGCGGGGGGUGUUUAAUUUCUUUUAAAAUCUAAAGGAAAAAACGUGGCUAUAGUAAUGGCUAUAUAAUGAUGAAACCAACCUGGAUUUAUAUCAAUGAAGUUGUAAACUGGAAACCUUUUUUCUUAAUGAGAGAGGGACCCAUGAAGGCAAGAGUCCCCGAGGACUUUUCUGACAUCCGCCUGGCCCCGUAAGGCUACCAGGGCAGGGCUUCCUGCUCAGGGCUUCCUUUGUACCUUCUGCCUCUGCCUAAGUCCUCCCCACAGUUGUUAUUUCACAUUUGUCCCCUAAUGAAAGCAGGGGCCCCACCAGACUGACCUGUGUUCACUGUCCCUUCCAACACAGGGCCUGGCACAGAGUAUUUGCUCAAUUAAUGUUUGCCUUGAACAUGACCAAGCGGAGACAAUCGUCCUGCACCUGAGGUCCCACGGGAACAUGCCCUCCAUCCCCUUUUAACUGCCUGCCUGGCCUGUGGAACCAGAGGGAAGGGACAGGACGGAAACAUAGAGGAAAGCCACACAAUGGAUGUGGGAGGACUGGUGGCCCCCAAGGUCCCCCUUGGGGACAGGCGGGGAGGGGUGGUAGAGAUUUCACAUAAACAAACAUUUCCUUGUCUGGCAGGUCACACUGUAAUUACACGCAGGUCAAGUGCUUCAGAGCUUGGAAGUCGGAUGGUCUCUGUUGGCGGAGGCCAUGGCAGCUCGAGGCCCCCGG